rnacentral:rRNA from 1 species
AGUGAACGCUGGCGGUAGGCCUAACACAUGCAAGUCGAACGGCAGCACAGUAAGAGCUUGCUCUUACGGGUGGCGAGUGGCGGACGGGUGAGGAAUACAUCGGAAUCUACUUUUUCGUGGGGGAUAACGUAGGGAAACUUACGCUAAUACCGCAUACGACCUACGGGUGAAAGCAGGGGAUCUUCGGACCUUGCGCGAUUGAAUGAGCCGAUGUCGGAUUAGCUAGUUGGCGGGGUAAAGGCCCACCAAGGCGACGAUCCGUAGCUGGUCUGAGAGGAUGAUCAGCCACACUGGAACUGAGACAGGGUCCAGACUCCUACGGGAGGCAGCAGUGGGGAAUAUUGGACAAUGGGCGCAAGCCUGAUCCAGCCAUACCGCGUGGGUGAAGAAGGCCUUCGGGUUGUAAAGCCCUUUUGUUGGGAAAGAAAAGCAGCAGGUUAAUACCCAGCUGUUCUGACGGUACCCAAAGAAUAAGCACCGGCUAACUUCGUG